rnacentral:rRNA from 1 species
UACGUAGGGUGCAGGCGUUAAUCGGAAUUACUGGGCGUAAAGCGUGCGCAGGCGGCUCUUUAAGUCAGAUGUGAAAGCCCCGGGCUUAACCUGGGAAUUGCGUUUUGAAACUGGAGAGCUGGAGUGUGGAAGAGGGGGGGUGGAAUUCCAGGUGUAGCAGUGAAAUGCGUAGAGAUCUGGAGGAACACCGAUGGCGAAGGCAGCCCCCUGGGCUAACACUGACGCUCAUGCACGAAAAGCGUGGGGAGCAAACAGG